rnacentral:misc_RNA from 1 species
AAAAUGCGAUAAGUAAUGUGAAUUGCAGAAUUCAGUGAAUCAUCGAAUCUUUGAACGCACAUUGCGCCCGCCAGUAUUCUGGCGGGCAUGCCUGUUCGAGCGUCAUUUCAACCCUCAAGCCCCCGGGUUUGGUGUUGGGGAUCGGGCUGCGGUUCUACCGCGUCCCGGCCCCGAAAUCUAGUGGCGGUCUCGCUGCAGCCUCCAUUGCGUAGUAGCUAACACCUCGCAACUGGAACGCGGCGCGGCCAAGCCGUUAAACCCCCAACUUCUGAAUGUUGACCUCGGAUCAGGUAGGAAUACUCGCUGAACUUAAGC